rnacentral:rRNA from 1 species
GAUGAACGCUGGCGGCGUGCCUAAUACAUGCAAGUCGAGCGAACAGACGAUGAUCUUGCUCCUCGGACGUUAGCGGCAGGCGGGUGAGUAACGCGUGUAUAACCUACCUAUAAUACUGGUAUAACUUCGGGAAACCGGAGCUAAUCCCGUAUAAUCUAUUGAUCCGCAUGGUUCAAUAGUGAAAUACGGUGGUGCUGUCACUUAUAGAUGGAUCCGCGCCGCAUGAGCUAGUUGGUAAGUUAACGGCUUACCAAGGCAACGAUGCGUAGCCGAAGUGAGAGGCGGAUAGCCGACAUUGGAACUGAGCCAGGCACAAGACGACUAAGAGAGGCAGCAGUAGGCAACCGUACGCAAUGGGGGAAAGCAUGACGGAGCAACGCCGCGCCAGUGAUGAAGGUCUUCGGAUCGUAAAACUCUGUUACUGGGGAAGAACCAAUGUGUAAGUAAAUAUGCACGUAUUGACGGUAACUAAUAAGAAAGCAACGGCUAACUACGUG